rnacentral:lncRNA from 1 species
CAUUAUUUUUAUCCACCGAUGGCAGCCGGUGUUGCACAAAAGUGCCAAAUCCACUAUUUUUAUCCACCGAUGGCAGCCGGUGUUGCACAAAAGUGCCAAAUCCAUUAUAUUUACCCACCGAUGGCAGCCGGUGUCGAAACCGGUUCCUCACAGAUUACAAGUCGACAGGUCCAACGUAUAAUCCCCAUUGGCAGGGCCAGAACAGAGCAGAACAGAUCAUAGCCAUGCUGAGAAUGCAUAUAUACAGAAAAAUAGAUUUCAUAAAUUAUCCAGUCAUAUUUUGCGGAUUUCAGAGCAUAUAACAAAAUUUUCAAAUGAAAUUUAACAUGCCAGACUCAUUUUACUAAAUACAAAACAUAUUUCGAAAUUAAUCCACUAAUAAUUAUUUUACCAAAUAAUUUCGAAAA